rnacentral:rRNA from 1 species
CCCCGGGAGGGGAGUGAAAUAGAACCUGAAACCUUAUGCCUACAAGCAGAUAGAGUCUUAAGAGAGAUGAUAUCGUACUUUUUGUAGAACGGGCCAGCGAGUUAUGGUGUGCGGCAAGGUUAAGUAAUGAAGUUACGGAGCCGUAGGGAAACCGAGUCUGAAUAGGGCGAAUAAGUCGUAUGCCAUAGACCCGAAACCAGGUGAUCUAUCCAUGAGCAGGUUGAAGUGAAAGUAAAAUUUCAUGGAGGACCGAACCGGGUAGCGUUUAAAAGCUAUCGGAUGACUUGUGGAUAGGGGUGAAAAGCCAAUCGAACUUGGAGAUAGCUGGUUCUCCUCGAAAUAGCUUUAGGGCUAGCCUCAAUUUAGUUUACAGGGGGUAGAGCACUGAAUACCGUAGGGGUGUUAGACAUUACCGAAAGUUAUCAAACUGCGAAUACCUGAUAAAUGAUGAUUGGGAGUCAGACUAUGUGGGAUAAGCUUCAUAGUCAAAAGGGAAAGAGCCCAGACCACCAGCUAAGGUCCCUAAAUAUAGAUUAAGUGGUAAAGGAUGUUUUACUACUUAGACAACCAGGAUGUUGGCUUAGAAGCAGCCAUACAUUUAAAGAGUGCGUAAUAGCUCACUGGUCAAGUGGUAGAGCGCCGAAAAUGAACGGGGCUAAAAUCUAAUACCGAAGCUGUGGACUAAUUUAAUUAGUGGUAGAGGAGCAUUGUGUAAGGGGCGAAGCUAAGUUGGAAGACGAAGUGGACUUUACAGAAGAGAGAAUGCUGGCAUGAGUAGCGAAAAGGAGGGUGAGAAUCCCUCCCGUCGAAAGCCUAAGGAUUCCUGAGGAAGGCUCGUCCUCUCAGGGUAAGUCGGGACCUAAGCCCAGGCUGAAAAGCGUAAGCGAUGGACAACAGGUUGAGAUUCCUGUACUAUCUUUGAAUGUUUGAGAGAUGUACUGACGCAGGAGGAUAUGUUGAGCGUGUGAAUGGUAGAGCACGUCUAAGCAAGUAGGUAGAGAAUAGAGGCAAAUCCCUAUUCUUAAUAUCGAGAUGCGAUGGGGAGCGAAAAAUAAGUAGUGAAGCAACAGAUUCCAAACUGCCAAGAAAAGGUACUAUUGAGUGAGAAGAUACCCGUACCAAAACCGACACAGGUAGGCAAGGAGAGAAUCCUAAGACGCGCGGAAGAACCUUUGUUAAGGAACUCGGCAAAAUGACCCCGUAACUUCGGGAGAAGGGGUACCAUUAGAUGUGAUAUACAUACGUAUGGAGCAUAGAGUGGUCGCAGAGAAUAGGCCCAAGCAACUGUUUACCAAAAACACAAGUCUCUGCUAAAUCGAAAGAUGAAGUAUAGGGGCUGACACCUGCCCGGUGCUGGAAGGUUAAGGGGAAAUGUUAGAGCAAUCGAAGCAUAGAACUUAAGCCCCAGUAAACGGCGGCCGUAACUAUAACGGUCCUAAGGUAGCGAAAUUCCUUGUCGGGUAAGUUCCGACCCGCACGAAAGGUGUAAUGAUUUGGGCACUGUCUCAACAAAGGAUCCGGUGAAAUUGUAGUAGUCGUGAAGAUGCGACUUACCCACGAUAGGACGGAAAGACCCCGUGGAGCUUUACUGUAGGCUGGCAUUGGAAUUUGGUAUUAAAUGUACAGGAUAGGUGGGAGACAAUGAAGCGAGAGCGCCAGUUUUCGUGGAGUCAACGUUGGGAUACCACUCUUUUGAUACUAAAUUUCUAACUUGAUACUCUGAAGCGAGUAUAAGGACACUGUCAGUUGGGCAGUUUGACUGGGGCGGUCGCCUCCUAAAGAGUAACGGAGGCGUUCAAAGGUUCCCUCAGGUUGGAUGGAAAUCAACCAUAGAGUG